GUUGCAAACUCCACUGCAUACAUAUAUAUGGGGAGGUACAAGCUCCAACUUGGUUUUACAGUGAAAACUGAAGGAACUUCAAACCGGCACUAAGAAACAGAC